AUUGCUUCUCAGCCUUUUGGCUAAGAUCAGGUGUAAAUCUGUUCUUAUCAGUUUAAUAUCUGACACGUCCUCUAAUUGAGAACUACAUAUUAAAUUGAUUUUUAGAACAGGGAGACAGAAGAGGAGCUUGAUCUGUCAGGCCGUGCAUCUGCCUGGUAUUGCAGUACCUCCAUGAGCAGUGCACCUCCU